UUCCAACUCUCUUCGUGAGGCCAAAGCAUAGUUUUUCCUUAGUGCUAUUUGCCUCCGGUUUGUCCAGGAGGCACUCCAUCACCUACACCUUCCGUCUCACACACAAACAUAAGGAACGUCGAGGAAGCUUCUGGAUCUGGAACAUCUUUCAAAGGGAUAACCAGUCCUAGCUUCUUUAUUGGAUAAAGCUGUCUGUAUGCGGCUAUAACUCGCCAACUUCCAGGUAUAAACUUCACUCUAAUCCCUUCCUCUCUCAGGAGAG